CGGGAAGCGGGGCAUUACUGCUGAGGGACGGGAGUGAAGGGCCAUGCCAAGAAAGUGCAUUCUGCCAGGAGGAGGCCUGGGGGGGACUCCUUGUUUUUUUCUUUUUCCAGCUGGUCACUAGAACAAGGUGUCGUGUGUCCUCCACCCGCUGACCUCCCCAAUACUCCACCUCAUGCCUCCGGCUGGCUGCAAAGCCGCCUCUUGCGUCUGGGACGUUCUGCAGAUUGGAGGAUCCACGCUCAAAGCCCAGAGGAUUCUGCUGCCGAAGGGACCCGGUGGAGGGAGAGCUGGGAGGAACUUCUCAAGCUGAACCGCGAGGAUGCUGCAUGCUCCUCGGGAACAGAAUGCAGACAAGCUGAAGGAGUUCUGUGGCAAAGUCAAGAUGAGCAGGCAAGUGCCGGGAACUGGCAGGUGACACCACCGCUCCCGGGUGCCGGCGCUCCAGCCCCAGACAGAAGUGGAAUCACCUUCAAGACAGUAAGUGGCUCAGCACUGGGGAGGGGGCCAGAAAUCGGGAUGCUGCGGACUGCAGGGCGGGGGGAGCU
ensembl:lncRNA